UUGUGACUCGUAUCAUUCCCCCCUUCCUCAAAAAGAUUCGUCCUCGAAUCUGAAAAAUCAAAUGAACUCGACUUUCCUCUAUCGAACGGGACUAAUGGCAAUUGAGUCCACUGAAAAGAAUAGCCAUGAGAUAGUAAAUAGCAACGAAAACAAGCUUGUAGUCCAAUCAUAAGCAUAACAGAACAGGUAUAACGCAUGUGAAUGGACAGAUUCAGAUUACCAUGCAAA
rnacentral:lncRNA from 1 species